rnacentral:rRNA from 1 species
UGGGGAAUUUUGGACAAUGGGCGAAAGCCUGAUCCAGCAAUGCCGCGUGUGUGAAGAAGGCCUUCGGGUUGUAAAGCACUUUUGUCCGGAAAGAAAUCCUUGGCUCUAAUACAGUCGGGGGAUGACGGUACCGGAAGAAUAAGCACCGGCUAACUACGUGCCAGCAGCCGCGGUAAUACGUAGGGUGCAAGCGUUAAUCGGAAUUACUGGGCGUAAAGCGUGCGCAGGCGGUUUGCUAAGACCGAUGUGAAAUCCCCGGGCUCAACCUGGGAACUGCAUUGGUGGCUGGCAGGCUAGAGUAUGGCAGAGGGGGGCUAGAAUUCCACGUGUAGCAGUGAAAUGCGUAGAGAUGUGGAGGAAUACCGAUGGCGAAGGCAGCCCCCUGGGCCAAUACUGACGCUCAUGCACGAAAGCGUGGGGAGCAAACAGGAUUAGAUACCCUGGUAGUCCACGCCCUAAACGAUGUCAACUAGUUGUUGGGGAUUCAUUUUCCUUAGUAACGUAGCUAACGCGUGAAGUUGACCGCCUGGGG